AGUUAAUGAACUUGAAUAAGUAUAUAUUUUGAAAAUAUAAAAUAGAUAUAAAAUUAUCUAUUAACUU
rnacentral:tRNA from 2 species